rnacentral:lncRNA from 1 species
GGAUCAGAGCCAUAAAUUGGCUCUUCCAUAGCAGACACAUUUCUUCAGCAUCCCCUCCACUCAGACUUUCUCCUUCUAGGUGGCCUUCCACAGCCUUCCGUGCAGGAUAGGAGCCUUCCUCCACACCUCCCUCUUUCCCGACCUCCUUUGCAAGCUCCCAGCAGGCCUGCGGCUCCUCCUCUUCCUCCCCGGAAGCAACGUGCCCUGCGUGCGCCCACCUUCCGGCCCAGCGGGAGCUCCAGCGGGCGCCCCUCCCCCCACCGUACGGACCCACACCUUCCCAUACCUUAGUUACCUGGACAGAUGCCUGCAAGCGUAGUCAGGAAUCCUGCCCCUGACGUCGGCCUCCAGCUCUCAGCGGAGGGCGUGGCGACGGCGGGGAGGCAGGAGGGGGAAAGGCACCAGCCAGCAGCCGUGCCAGCGCUGCUCAAGUUUCACUUUUAGUCUGUGGGUCUGCUCCCCCGCCCCGCGCGAGCUUUCCCGGGAUAAGUAGCGUUAGCGGGCAGGGAAGAGCUCGGCGCUGCACGGGUGGAAAUUAUGGAUGGGCCUUGGAAAAGAAUGAGCGUGGCUUCCCAUCUUAGCUCCUACCACUAUCCUGGAAGCUGCCAGAAUUCUGGAGUGUAUUUCCCAUCGAAAGGAAUGGAAGAUGGUUUGCAGACGUGUUACCUUGGAGGUACUGUUUGAACCAGAAAGGUAAAAGUGACUUCCAAAAUUGUAAAUCCUUUGCCCUCCUUUAUCUGAGUCUGAGUGUCAGCGAAGUAUGAAUGCCAACUUGGGUCACCCAGGAGGUGAAGCUGCUAGGAACUCUGUUCUCUGAGCUGUCUGAGAAGGGAGGAUCAGGGACUGGCAGUGGAGCUGUGGAGGGCAAUUUCAUGGUCUAAGAGGUCAUUUUCGACAAAAUCUGAAGGGAUAAUUCUCUGUUAGGCUCUGCAGGCCCCAUU